AGGGAGGAGAGAGAGACAACAUUUACCAAACUGGUUCUAAGGAAAGGGGAAAAUGGAAGAUUUACAGAAAUAGCCAAUUCUUUUUAUAUAACUACAAAUUCUGUCUCCAUCUUUCAAAAGAGUUUUCCUUUUUUUAAAAAAGGAAGGGGGUUCUUUCUACCACUUUUGAGAUAAAUUACAUUGAAAGGAAACAGCAGCGUUAAGCAUGGAACAAGAUUGAAAUGAAGAGUUCCCAGGAUGGAGACUGUGGGAAGGAGAAGGGUCUGCAAUGGGCAGGUUUGUCCCCAGGAGCUCAGAUUCCUCUGAAGGUGCAGAAGGUUUUGCAAAGCCUGCUGCAGCAUGACAGCCUUCUGGUGCCUGACAGAAGCCAAGAGGAAAGGUGUGCAGGAGGAUCCCAGCAACAUCAUAGAAUCAUAGAACUGUAUGAUUCUAUGGAAGAGUUGGAAGAGACCCCAAGAGCCAUCUUGUUCGAUCCCCAGCAAUGCAGGAAUCACAGCUAAACUAUAUCUGACUGAUGGCCACCCAACCUCUCUUGACAAACCUCCAAGGAAGGAGAGUCCACACCUUCCAAGGGAGUCCACUCCACUGGUGAACAGCUCCUACCACCAGAAAGUCCUUUCUAAGGUUUAGUCAGAAUGACCUAUCUUGCCAUUAAUUUGGUUCCUACCAGCAGAAAACAAGCUUGCCCCAUCUUCCAUGUGAAUGCCCUUCAGAUAUUUGAAGAUGGGCAUCAUAUUGCCUUUUAAUCCUCCCUUCUCCAGGCUAAACAUUCCCAACUCCCUCAGUUGUUCCUCAUAUGUUCAGCAUUCUGUCCUUACAGUGGUCAACCAGAUGUCUCUUCUAGGAAUCCCGCAAGCGGAAUCCAAGCACUCUCCCCAUUUGCAAUUCCCAGCAAUGGGUAUUCAGAGGCAUUUACUUUUUCCAGAUAUUUUGGGUGACAGCUCUCACUACCACACACUGGCUCACUUAGAUGAAGGAAAGCAGCUUCCAGUAGGGUGACCAGAAGUGGCUAAGGGGGCAGAACCUUCUCUCCACUGAUUCCCUCAUUCCACAGCACUGGUGUUAGACCUGCAUGGGAAAUAUGCAAGAUCAUGCAUAGCUCUAAAUUAUUCCCACUUUGCAGAUGAGAAACAGAGGCUGGGAGAAUGAUAGAUAGACUGAUCUACCCAGGGGCAAUGGCCAAGAAUGGGUAGAGGGGUUCAAGUCUCCCAGAUCAAAGCCUACCGUUGCAUCCACCAGACCUCAGUAGCUCUCAUGGGGUGUGGAGUGGGACGGAAGCAGGUAUCUCAAGCCUUUAUGUGGAAAGGGCUGCAGGUACCCCAUUGGCACACAAUGCUAAAGAUUUCCAGCAGGCAAAAGGGCCAACCUGUCUCCUGCAUGGCUGGAAUGAGGCAGAGGCAAUGGACUAUGGGACCCAUCAGUAGGGGAGGUCUCCAGGUGGCACCAUCCUCAGGCACCUCCUUUCAGUGGGUUGGGAAAUCUCUUUCAACCUGAGGGCCAAAUUUCCUCAUGGGCACGAUCCAGGGGCCACAUGCCAGUGUUGGCAGGGUAACAGGUGUGACUAUACUGUAGCUGCAGUUCAUCCAUGCAAGGCACAGAGCUCUCUUAAGUGUACAUCUCUCUACCCAGGCAAGCAGGAUUGUGACAAUCCAAGGACACAUUCCAGCCAGGCAGGGACACUGGAAGAGCAUGUGGAGCAGGACCAGGGAUUGGACAUGGUCUGGGAAAAGUCCACAGGGCUACAGAGAGGGCCUGGAGGGCUGCACUACGGCCACCUUGCCCACCCCUUGAAGAUCUAAGGCAAGAGGCAAGUUCCCAGCUUCUUACAGCCUAAUCUUUACAGCAGCAGGCGGAAAGGGCUUGGAUAACAGGAUGAAGGUUAAAACUUUGGAUAGUGGAAAUAAAUUGCCAAUGAAACUUUGGGGGUCAUUGGGGACUCCAUGCAAUACAUUACAAAGAGGAUAGAAAAGCAGAUUUCAAAGAAGAUUUUAAAUUACGGUGGCCCGCUGCCUAUUUAUGUAGUGCCAGCAAAAUUAUAAUAUCCACAGUGAAUGCUCGAGGAAGUUUGAUGGUGUGUGUCCCUCCGCUGGAUUCGGUGCUAAAAGCUUAGCCGUUCAUUCAUACUCAUACCCUUCUCAAUUCAUUGAAACCACUUCAAGCAAAAAUCAUUUGAAAGAAAUUACCACUGCACCAUGAGCAGUGAAAAAUGUCCCACAUGAGCCCCACCAGCCCCAAAAGCAAUAAAAUUUCUGCUGAAGUGCACAGUAUAAUAACUCAGGG